GUUUAGGACCUAAAUACACUAAAUGUAGCAGCUCCCAUAUGAUCCUGGAAGCUAACCCAUGUCAACUCUGUUUAGUACUUGGAUGGGAGACUGCCAAUGAGUACCUGGUGCUGUAGGCU
rnacentral:rRNA from 1 species